UUAAUUUAUUUAAUUUUAGUCAAUAGCAUUUUAAUUUUAAAAUUUGAAUAGGUCAUUUAUUCUUACAGAUUUAGUUAGUAUAAAUAUUUUAUGCAAUUCUCGCAAUUAUAAAUUUAUCAAAGUAAAAAUUAGUUUAAAAUUUAAAGUCAGAGUUUUAUAAACUGAUUCAAAUCAAAUAAACUGAAAAAUAUAUAGUAAAACUAAAUUUUUGAAGGGCCCGAUGGUAAAUUCAAAAUGAUUUAUAAUUUUUGAUAAUUUUGAUAUGUUUUUGUUUGAAG
rnacentral:lncRNA from 1 species